rnacentral:snRNA from 1 species
GUGCUCACUUUGGCAACACAUAUACUAAAAUUGGAAUGAUACAGAGAAGAUUAGCAUGACCCUUGCACAAGGAUGACAUGCAAAUUCGUAAAGCAUCCAUAUUUUGU